ensembl:lncRNA
CAACAGGAGGAACUUCAGAGGAAUUCUUCUCGAGGCUGCCAGGUGAGCACUGCAGAGCUCAGCGCUGUGCCAGGUGCUCCCGAGGGGAGACUGUGCUACGCAGGGAGAGCCAGGCUGGGCUGUGAAUAAUGGUGAUCCAUUCAAACAAAGGAAGACCCACGACAAACACCAAGAGUUGGCCUAGGGUAUGGCUAUGGACAUCACCAUGCCCUGAGCACUGCAUGAUCCCACACAUCUGGACUAGACUAGACUACAUUCAAUUUGACGACCAGCUUUUUAAUGUGAUUACUGCUGUUUCUGUUUUCCGUCAUGCAUGGAAAUAUCACAACAGUUAGGAGUGCAGUGAGGAUCACAGUACGCACGAACCUUGUUUGUUAAAUCAAAGAAAGCUUCACCUCAGCAGGGAAAGAGGAUGAGAUCUAAUUUUAGCUCAUCUGAUCAUUUAGCCCAUUUCAAGACACGUAAGGGAGACUCUGUAGAAUCCCUUGGACCAAACCUCCUAGAGCAUUAAUGCACAUUUCCUGAUGUCUUCCUGCCACUCCUGCACACCUUGAAGGCUGAGCUUGCUUGCGGGGGAACACCCAGCUCUAUGCAGAAGCACGCAGCCCUGGUAACAUCAGAAGUGCAAAGACACGUUCAUUCAUGGCCAUUCAAAAGUGUUUUCAUCAGAUCCACGGAAAGCUUUACACUUUAUUUUCUCCAAAACAACAUAGCCAGGUCUCUAUGUGGAGGCAAGCUUUACUCUGAUCUUGGUGGUGCUCUUCACUCAUGGUUCUACAAAAGAGAGGAGGAGCUGCUUGUAUAUGCAUGGUUUAUACCCUUCUCCACUGUAUUGUCCUUCAGACACAUUAGCAUUCAAUUUAUUGAUGUGCUAUGUAACGUAACAUUAGCUUCAGGCAUUAUCUGUCCUCAUUUUAUUUGAACAGCCAACCUGAUCUUUAUAUGUUAUUUCCUGAACUAAAGGCUCUGGCCUCUUUGCUGUUAUAUUUGUAUGUGUAUUGCAAUUUGCUCUUGAAAGAUAAAGCCAUUAACCCAAGUCCUGAUGAUUUCAUGAUUAACAUUGAAGAACUAUGGGCAAUUCAUAACAGCAC